UACGUAGGGGGCAAGUGUUGUCCGGAUUUAUUGGGCGUAAAGAGCGUGUAGGCGGCCAGGUAGGUCAGCUGUGAAAACUCGAGGCUCAACCUCGAGACGUCGGUUGAAACCAUCUGGCUAGAGUCCGGAAGAGGAGAGUGGAAUUCCUGGUGUAGCGGUGAAAUGCGCAGAUAUCAGGAGGAACACCGGUGGCGAAGGCGGUUCUCUGGGCAUGUCCUGACGCUGAGGAGCGAAAGUGUGGGGAGCGAACAGG
rnacentral:rRNA from 1 species